GGUUUUCCUUCCCGACAACCUCUCUCUCUCUCCAUCGAGAAACAAUAAACCGAAGAGAAGAAAAAAGAAUUCGACGAUGGUUUCGACUCGGAGAAGAAGGGUCGGACUCAACUCUGAUCCUCUCCGCCGGCCACCGCCGUCUCGGAAGACUCACUUGCCGCCGGUGAGUCAGUUCGUGAAGGUGGUUUUGGAUUUAACCAUGGAGUCAAAGACGCUGAAGAUUCCGCCGAGAUUUGUGAAGGCUGGCCCUAAACUUUCAGACACUGUUACACUGGAAACUCCUACUGGUUUCAAGCAUAAGAUACAGCUUAAGCGUGUCAAUGGCGAGGUUUGGUUCCAAGAUGGUUGGAGUGAGUUUGCAGAACGUUAUUCUAUCCGUAAAGGGCACUUGUUGUUUUUCGAUUUCCAAGGAGAUUCCACUUUCGGGGUUCGGAUUUUCGAUAUGUCUGCUACUGAAGCCGAGUAUGAAAGCAACGAUGAAAUGGAAGAGGGUGAGUGUGAUGGAUCUCUUGGAUCCCAAGGAAGCGAGGAAGAGGAAAACGAUACCAUUGAUGUGUUGGAUGGAUUGGUUGAUAUUGAUGUCAAGCCCGCUUCAGCAUCCAAUCCUCGGUCAAGUUCUAACAAAUGCAAGAAAAAUAUUGGUUUGACCAAUGACUCGGAUGUGGAAGUGAUAGAUUUGGAUAAAUUUUUGUGUAACACCACACCUUCCAAGAAGAGAAAUGAAGGAAAAAGCCGGAACACCCGAUCAAAGAUUGCUAUAACCCGGAAUACGAGAGGGCAAACUGCUAAAUCCCUCUGUGAUGGUGCAGAUUUGAUGGAUAUCGAAGUGCUCGAAGAAGAUCAGAUUCCUCAUAAACAAGAAUUUUCCCUGACAAGAUGCCGAGGGAAGAAACUCAGUAUAUAAAAGCCGAGAUGCUCGAGCUGAAAAAUCCGAUUUUUGCGGUCAGUCUCGAGACAUGAUACGUUUUUGCGACCGGCAAGAUAUCUUCUCCGGCUUCAAGAUUGUGAAAAAAGCAUCGGAUUUAGGGUUUAGGUUAAUGUAUGUGUAUUUUGUUCAGGCUUCAAGUUGAUGUAAUUAGGGCUGACUUUGGACAUGAACGGUUCCAAACCGGUCCCUGUCUCAGGGCUUGUUUUGUUUUCAGACAGAUAUUUCGGAUUUCUGUCGUGUUAACUCUAGGUUCAGGUUUUCUUUUUGUAAAAGAAUAUAACUAUUUGACUUUUAUAUUAGAUUCAAUUCGUCUAGGAUCAA